rnacentral:tRNA from 1 species
GGCUGUGGCUACAGAGGUAGAGCAUCUGCUUUGCAUGCAGAAGGUCCCAGGUUCAAUCCCGAGAUAAAGGGAGCUG